CGCCCCUCCCCCCGCUGUGACAUGAAAUGAAAGUCAUUUCUGGAAGCGAAAGAUAUCUCCGAAGACAUCAGCAUUUACAAUGAUGAGAAGCGAGAUCGUAAUCAUUCUGUUCGCUUUUCUCGUUGAAGGUGUGUUUGGUGUUACACAUGCAGUGAAGUCAAUAUCAGUCAUGGAGGGAGAUACAGUCACUCUAAACACUGAUAUAAUCAAAAAAGAGCAUGACAAGUUGCUGUGGUAUUCUGAAGAGACUCGCAUAGCUCUGAUUAAUGGACAUCUCAACAUACCCAAUACGUAUGAUGGUGAAGACGGGAGAUUCAGAGACAGACUGAAGGUGGACUAUGAGACUGGAUCUCUGAUCAUCACAAACAUCACAACUGAACACACUGGACGUUAUGAAGCAGAGAUCAUCAGAAGUGAGAGUUCAGGAAAAAG